rnacentral:lncRNA from 1 species
CGAGUAGUACUAGUUUCUAUAUACCGAUACAAAAACACCUUUUUCUUUCUUCACUAGCAACUAUUUAACACUACAUCUUACAGUUAAGUAGUUACUGAAAAUGGCUUCAAAGUCUGGAUUAGAAGAGCUAAACUUUGUUUUGAUACCUUUACUUGCUGCAAGUCACAUUAUACCCAUGCUGGACAUGGCCAAAUUGUUAGCACAGAGAGGCGUGACAGUCACUUUAGUCAUGACACCUCUUAAUGCUAUCCGAUUUACUGCAGUAAUUCAUCGUGCCAUCGGUUCUGGACUAUGUAUUCGGAUACUUGAACUCCAAUUCCCAGCCAAGGAAGCGGGGUUGCCAGAGGGAUAUGAAAGCGCGGAUGUUCUACCAGAUACAGCUUAUCGAAGAACUUUCUAUACUGCAAUUGCUAUGCUACAAGACCAAGCUGAAAAAUUACUUGCUGAGAUGAAGCCUAAGCCGAAUUGCAUUAUUUCCGAUAAGCAUAUUGCUUGGGCUGCUGAGACAGCUGAUAAGUUUCAAAUUCCAAGAAUCAUUUUUGAUGGAACGAGUUGUUUCAACCAAUUAUGUAUGCAUAAUUUGUACAUCAUGAAGGAUCAAAACAAAAUUCCUGAAUCAGGGCCUUUUGUCAUACCUGAUUUGCCUGAUAGAAUUGAAGUAACCAAAGUUCAGCUGCCUGGAGCAUUCAAUCCUUCACCAACCCUUUGCGUGCAAGAUAUUCGAGACAAAAUCCGAGCAGCUGAAACAAGAGCCUAUGGGGUUUUAAUCAAUACUUUCGAGGAGUUGGAACAAAGGUACGUUGAUAAAUUCCGAAAACUUAAAGAUUAUAGAGUUUGGUGUAUUGGACCUUUGUCCCUUUGUAUUAGUGACCGUCUAGAUAAAGUGCAGAGAGGAAAUAGCGCUUCAUUUGACAAAGAAGACUGCUUGAAGAAAUGGCUUGAUUCUUGGCAGCCUGAGUCUGUUGUGUAUGCAUGUUUUGGAAGCCUUAGCCAUACCACAGUUGAGCAAUUUGUGGAGCUGGCUUUAGGCCUAGAAGCAACAGGUUAUCCAUUCAUUUUAGUCGUAAAAUCAGGGGAAAGACAAGCACCAAUAGAGAACUGGAUAUCGGAAAAUGGAUUUGAAGAAAGAACAAAAGGAAGAGGGCUUUUGAUCCGUGGCUGGGCACCACAAGUACUAAUUCUAUCGCACCCUGCAAUUGGUGGGUUCUUGACUCAUUGUGGUUGGAAUUCGACCCUUGAGGGAAUUAGUGUUGGUCUGCCUAUGAUCACAUGGCCUUUAUUCUCAGAACAGUUCUUAAAUGAGAGAUUCUUAGUAAAUGUAUUGAAGACGGGCGUGAGUGUUGGAUCGCAGAAAGUUGUGAAUUUCGGUGAGGAAGAGAAGUAUGAGGUUCAAGUGCGUAAGGAAGAAAUAACGAAAGCAAUAAGAACAGCGAUGGGCAAGGAGAAAGAAGGAAAAGAGAGGAGAAAAAGAGCCAAAGAAGUUGGAGAAAUGGCAAAAAGAGCUAUAGAAGGAGGUGGAUCUUCUCACCUCAGUCUGACACUUCUAAUCAAUGCAGUACAAGAAUUCCAACUUAACCAAUCAGCUUAAAAUGAAUAUGCACAAGUGUGCAACAUACUACUUUGAUAGCAAAGAGUAUAAGCAUUAAUUUCUUUUCCUUUUUGCACUUUUGUCUUUGAACAUGAGCUACCCGAAUAAAACAGGAAACAACUGUGGAUUUCGGACUUUAGCCCGGACCUAGACUGUCUGCAAUUUAAAGGGCAAUCCGAUGCACAAAAGUUUCUACUAUGCACGGGUCCUGGAAAGGCAGGCCGAUAGUCUGCAAUUUAUGUCCCCCAAAAUUGGAUUUGAAUUGUAAAUUUCCUAUUUCUCAGAACAUGUUAGGUCCUUCGAUUAACUUAACUUUGCCAGUUUCAAUUUUCAGCAAUGAGUUAUAUACACUUUAAUUGAGUGAUUGACGACUGUAUUGCCACAUAAAAAGGAACUGUUGUCUCAUAAUGUGCCUCAUCAAAUGGGUAUCCCAAUUGAGUAAAUUUCACACGAGUCACUUUUCUUUUUUAUCAUGUACUAGUCAUCCAAAUUUGGGUUCGAGCCUGGGAAGUAGUCCCUAGUGCUUGCAUUAGGGUAGAUUAUCUAUUUCACACCCCCUUGGGUAUAAUCCUUCUUCAAACCCUCCUAACGCGGUAUGUAUUGUUCUCCGAACUACCCAUUUUUUAUAAAAAUCAUCCAAAAUAAAAGAAGUCAUACAAGAAUAACUUUUUUUAAUAUUUUUUGUUACAUAGUCAAAAUUAUCCUACUUGAAGUUUAUCUAACAAAAGUCACUUUUUCAGACAAUACACUGGGUUUGUUGUUGUUGUUGAUUGAAUUGUGAAUGUCAGCAUCAAUGGCAAAAUAGAUUAGCUAUCAAUUAUUAUGCACACAUGAAACAAGAGACAAUGACACAGCUGGCUGGCUUAUCACAUUAAUUGUCAAGUUGCAUAUAGUCAGAAUUUCUUGAUUACUUUAAUUGCUCAAAGUGCCGUAAUGGCCUGCUACACGUAAAGAUAUAAUUAAUUUAGUGCAUAUUAGUUUAAUGCAAAUAAGCCCUUACAUCAUAAUCUUAACAAAUGCCAACACUACAUAUAAAUAGAUAAAAGCACCUUCCUGAAUCAUCUAACACAACUACUUCCAGUUCAGUUCAUACUAAAAAUGAUUUCAGAGUCAGGAUUAGAAGAGCUAAACUUUGUAUUGAUACCUUUACUUGCUGCAAGUCACAUCAUACCCAUGGUGGACAUGGCCAAAUUGUUAGCACAGAGAGGCGUGACAGUCACUUUAG